CCCAGGCCCAAGUGUCCUGCUUGGAGCCUCCAUUAUAAUAAAUGAUAAAACAGCUCUAUGAACAGUUGAUUUAAAAGCACAGGAAACUAACUUCCUGGGACAGUCAACUGAAAGUCAGGAAAUUUCUAUGAAAGUGUUUAUUCUUGCCCGUUUGGCGGUGAGUCAAGGUCCUUAGUGCUUAGAUGGUAGGAGACAUUUUCUCCUCUUCACUCUGUUCUGCUUUCCAUCAGAGCACCCGUUUCCUCAGACCUAGUUCCUCAACAGCUGUUACCACAAACUGAGCCAGAAGGGGGCGCACAAGCGCAGAGUCAUUGCGGACGUAGAAAUCCAGCCUGCGGUUCUACCAUUGGCCACAAGGCUCUCCUGCCUCUGCAAGGUACCAACUCAGGAGGGAAUGACAGCGGGGUUUGGUGUCACAGGCUUAGAGACGUGUGCAGAAUUCUAAAAAGCAACAACCGUGGUUGGGGAAAGGAGGGGUGUCUGUCUCUGACUCAGGUGGAGUGUCUGCUGCAUCGUCUGGAAAGACCCUUGAAAGGAGCCUGCUCUUCAUCAGAGGAGGAGAGUGGAACGCUUCCUUCUUCCCAUCAUAUUCUGAUGACUGGGGGAAGCAGAUGGCUUGAGAUUGGCCUUAAGAAUUGGGGUGUUUUACGGGGAGAGAGGUAGAGGGUUGGGGGUGGAAAAAAUGAAAAAGGAAAUCAGAUGAGGUUGUUGUUUGAGCCUACACCCAAGAAGGGCUGGGUACUGAGGCGAGUUUUGUGUUAUUUCCUGAAGGUGGAGAUGUUGGAGCCUGGAUGGGGCUCUGUGGCCGUGAGCUGGAGAAGCCCAGACUUUUGAUAAGUUCAGUCUCCAAGUAAAGAUAGAAGGAUCCUGUGUUGCUGGCUGGAUCGUGAGAUAGUGGUGGAUAACACUUAAAAAAAAACCCCACAACUCAUUCAAAUUCUUAGAAAGGAAAAACUGGAUUCCAAAUGUGACCACAUAAACAUUGCUCUGAGGGGAAGAGUUGUGAAGAAACUAUUUGGCAAAAAUAUAUUUUAUGAACUACUUACACCUCCUGAUAAAUUGCAUUAAAAGAUCAUGAGUGAUUUAUGGCCAAAAUUUCCUUUGACAUCUGUUUAAAUGAUGUAACUCUUCCGACUUGCAUCAUGGACGCUAUCUCAGCCCGUCAAUGAAUCAAUAUCCAUUUAUUGAUGUCUCGUACAGGCAAAAUGAAACCAGUGUUUCUCAGCUCAGCAUGUUCCUUGGUGUACAUUUUCUGAUACCCUGAAUUCUGAUUUUUACUAGCACUUGGCAGAGCUAGUAUCUGCUUCCCCCCACCUUUUUCCAUUGUAUCCUCUGGUUCCUAGUUCAAGAGCAUGGUGUCAGGCAUAUAAGUAUUUGUUAAAUGAGUGAAUGAAUUAGAAAAAUCACACUUAAAAGAGGGUGUCCUAGGUUAUAGUCAGUAAAAUGUACUUGGAGUGUGGUGGUCAAGAUGUUACGGAAUAUCGGCCUUCUUCAUAAUAAAUGCCUCAUAUUUGGACA
rnacentral:lncRNA from 1 species